CAUUAGAUGGCUGAAAGUAAGCAAUGGAAUUUUAAACCAUAAAAUAGUAAAAUAACAAAUACUUCUAAUGA
rnacentral:tRNA from 1 species